UACGUAGGGUGCAAGCGUUAAUCGGAAUUACUGGGCGUAAAGCGUGCGUAGACGGUAGCGUAAGUCAGAUGCGAAAGCCCCGGGCUCAACCUGGGAACUGCAUUUGAGACUGCUCUGCUCGGGUGCGGAAGAGGGAAGCGGAAUUUCCGGUGUAGCGGUGAAAUGCGUAGAUAUCGGAAGGAACACCAGUGGCGAAAGCGGCUUCCUGGUCCGACACCGACGUUCAGGCACGAAAGCGUGGGGAGCAAACAGG
rnacentral:rRNA from 1 species